GCCAGGCAUGGUGGCUCAUGCCUGUAAUCCAGGCAGCUUGAGAGGCUGAGGCAGGAGGAUCGUGAGUUCAAAGCCUGCCUCUG
rnacentral:sRNA from 1 species